rnacentral:tRNA from 1 species
GGCUGGGUGGCUCAAUUGGUAGAGUGUUUGCCUCAAAUGACAGAAGCCCUGGGUUCAAUUCCCAGCACAGCUC